GUACAUUCGUAGUGCUUACGCACAAUGAUAAUUUCAUUACAUUCGAGUCGGUGUAAAAAUCCUCUGCCAGCCGAGGCCAGCAAGAGGCCAAAGGUUCACAAGAGUGUUGGAUGAAAGUCACCAACGUGCACUUGCCGGAGCCAGCACUGAAGGCAACGAUUCACAGUCAAUAAUGAUCCUUCCGCAGGUUCACCUACGGAAA
rnacentral:misc_RNA from 1 species